AGCAGGUUUGGUAAAUGAAUAAUGCCCGGAUGGGGAGUUGCAGCCUGAAUUUGGUUGAUGACGAAGGACAGGCUGAAGAGGCUCUGGAAGAAGUUUAAAGUGUACCUGUCUGUUGGGUAAAACCAGCAGCUGACAGUAUUUCGUUAUGCUGGUUUAAAUAAAGCUGUGGCCGUUGCCCUUACCCACUUAACAUGGUGUUGCGUUACUUAUUGGAAAUGAAAGGGUAACGGGAUUUGGUGAUCGAAGGAGUCAGCAGUCAUGUACACAGUAUGCAUCAUUUCCAGUUCCUCCCUUACCAGUUUCUUGUGAUGCACACAUCAGCUGUCUCCAAAUGUAA